AGCGAACGCUGGCGGCAGGCCUAACACAUGCAAGUCGAACGGAUCCUUCGGGAUUAGUGGCGGACGGGUGAGUAACACGUGGGAACGUGCCCUUUGGUUCGGAACAACUCAGGGAAACUUGAGCUAAUACCGGAUGUGCCCUUCGGGGGAAAGAUUUAUCGCCAUUGGAGCGGCCCGCGUCUGAUUAGCUAGUUGGUGAGGUAAAGGCUCACCAAGGCGACGAUCAGUAGCUGGUCUGAGAGGAUGAUCAGCCACAUUGGGACUGAGACACGGCCCAAACUCCUACGGGAGGCAGCAGUGGGGAAUCUUGCGCAAUGGGCGAAAGCCUGACGCAGCCAUGCCGCGUGAAUGAUGAAGGUCUUAGGAUUGUAAACCUCUUUUGUCAGGGAAGAAGCGAAAGUGACGGUACCUGGAGAAAAAGCCCCGGCUAACUUCGUGCCAGCAGCCGCAGUAACAC
rnacentral:rRNA from 1 species